AAAGUGAAAGAGGGUGCACUGUGCAUGCGCAGCCGUCCUCCAUUCAAUUUCUAUGUGGCUGCCGAAAAUAGCAGAGAGCUGGCUCGGCUAUUUCCGUCGGCCCCAUAGAAAUUAAUGGUAGCGGUGGCCACGUAUGCGUGGUG